GCGAGGUUUCAUUUUGUGGAAUUUGAUGACCCUGAGAGUUUUCACGAGGUGAUUCAUGGCGAGUCUGGCUGGCACUGGUUUGAGAGGUAUAGUGAUUGUUAAUUUGCCGAUUUAUGGCUCAAGGAGUUGGAGGAAUGAAAUGCGUAUGCGGGCGAACAAUGAGGAUGAUGCUUAGCUUCUUUUCGUGGGGGAGGUUGUACAUCAGGGCAGGAGGAAUUGAUUCAUAUUUCAAGUGGUAGUGAUGGUGGAGGGAGAUGAUGAAGUCCUUGUAUAUAUCCUUCUUGUCUUUUUGAGAUAAAACUUAUUUAUGCUAACAAUAUCAUCUUAAUUUUCAAGUCAUGUUUUAAAAACUUUUGUCAAUUUCUAAAUUUGAUCCUUAUUAUCUUAACAAACUUUAAUAUCUUGGGCUCAUUUCCAUCUAUUUCUCUGCAUAAUUCUCUAAUUUGUCAUUUUUUUGUACCUCAUGUUUUCAACCUGCAGUUACAACCGGCUUUGAGGCCCUCUGAUAAAUGAUCUGCACCAUAAGAUAUUGUAUUCUGUUCAGGUACUAAACAAAAUAUGCCUUGGAACACUAUAAGCAUUACCUGACUCAUAUUAAUCCUUUUAGAAGCAAGUUGGUACUGUGAACCUACUCAUUCUCAUUAUAGUUGAUGAUGAACACUAAGCCGCGCUUAGUAGCAAUGAUUCUCGGAAUGGUCUAACUGUUAUUUUUAACUUCAGCUUGCUGUUUUCCAGUGCUCACAAUCAUUUCUCGGUUUAUGUGGCAGUUAAACCAAGGAUCUCUAUUCAAAGCUUGUUCCGUCAGAAACGUUCAUUGAUUGCCACUUUGCAUAUAACAGUAGUGUACCAAUGAUUUAAGACCCUUAGAAGAAAUCAAUUUGAGUUGACCCUGAAAUAAACCUUAUUAGGUUUCGCAGACAUUUCUUUUUGAAUGCCCUCAAUCAAUCAAAAGAAUGGCGUGAGAGUAGAUUUAAGAAAGGCAUCUUAACAGGAAACUUUUAUGUAUUGAAUUGUUUGACUUGCUAUGCAGGGACAAGACUUGAGUCUGCAGAGUAGAGCCAGUACUAUAUAAAUGACUAGUCUGAUAGGUAAUUCAUGUUUGGGCUGGAUGUGCUACACGAACCCUUGCUUAUCAAAAUUUUUAGUGCGUUCCUCCUGAAAAGGUCACCUUUUUCUGAGAGGUCACUGCACCGAAAAUACUGGUUGUUUCGAUUGACUUAGAAUAGGACGUGCAAUCUUACUAGCAGAAAUAGACUAGCCUAAUGAUCUACAUAUAGCAAUUUUGUUUUUCUUCAAAAACUGCUGAUGAGUGGAAUUGACUGGAUGUGAUAGACAAUGACAUCAAUUGGCAUGUAGUUAAUAAUUCUUGAAUGACAUGCCAUUUGCGUUAUACUUUGGAUGUUUGGCAUUAUGUACUACGUUACUUUUUCAACAUGAAGUUUAUCCAUCCCACUAAGUAUGCAUGUCUUGUCAGCUUCAAUCGGAUUAUCCUUUGCAUCAUUGUGUUAGUAUUUAUCCAUUUUAUUUGCGGCAUUCUUAUCCAAGUGUUUUUUUUUGCUAUUCGGUAUGAUGCUGCUAUAAAUUUAGUUUGAGUACAACUUUAUUCUGUUUCUAAAAUAUUUGCCAAACUAAUCUGGAAGGUAAACCUUGGCAUCCUUCCUGUCCUGGUUUUGUCUUCUUAUAUGGUGGCCCCAUAGUGAUUUUCUAGAGAGCAUGCAUGUUCUCACAUGGAAAAGCCAGCACCAAAUACAUGAAAGGAUUUACUUUAGGUCAUUUGCUUGGCUGGCCACCCAACAAAGAAAAGAACCUACAUUGCUUGUCCUUUGGUGGAGUGGUUCACAGUGUGCUAGUGGCAACUGCAAGGGGUUCUUGCAUGUGUUCUUUAGCUCAAUGGUGUACUAUGUCCCGAAGACGGCGAGCGAGGUGGCGUGGAAGGGAAGAAGCUUCUACGGAGUACACUGGUGAAUGAACUUAAGCACCAACAGAGGCCAACAUAUAUAUACCCAAGCGAUCAUGAAUCAGUUGAUCCAAAGGUCUGCAAACUCUUCCCCUCUUGCUUCCUAAGUGUUCUGCAGAUAUUUAGAGUUUUGUGUUUUCUUUGCAAAGGACUUCAGCUUUUUGGGUGAAUUAUCUUUGAAUCUAACGUUAUAAAUGUUUUGUCAGGCAUGUAGUAAUUAUUUCUGAGAUUUACAUGAUAAAUUUCUAUGAUAAUGUAGAGGUUUAUUAUAAUAUUUUGAUUUGAUAUAUAAUUCUCUCUCUUUUUUUUUCAUUUCCUCCUUGUUUCUACUCAUAGUUUCAGUUUAGGUGAAUCAUGAUUAUCACUUUGAUUUGUUUAGUUUGAUUUGCAUUUAAAUGUAGUAUGAGAGAGAGUUUGGAUUAUAUAUUUAGAUUCUUUACAAUGUAGCAGACAUAUAUAUAAGGAUGAUAAGUUCGAAUAAGUAAUAAUAAUCUCAUAUUAGUUAAUAUGAUAAAUUAUAUGAAUGAGGUUUGUAAGUUAAAUAUACUUUAUCCAAUAUAUGUUUGAUUUGCAUGAAACAAAUACAAAAGCUUUUAACAUAAACAUUGCUAUUGCUAGACCUUCUAUUCCCUUAGUCAUGGAACUUAUCAGGAUUAACUUAAUUAUUCUCAUAAUUUCAUGAUCAACUGAUAUGAGUGAUGUCACAUCUCGUCACACAAAUUAAAAGCUCUUAGUGCUAAAGUGUUAAUUAUAUAUCAUGUAGAGUGAGUCCCACCACCUUUUUAGAGUUGCCAUGGUUUACAUCCUAAACAGUGGUUGAAAAGCAAAGCCUUGAGUCUUAUCAUCAUCAUCAUCAUCAUCAUCAUCAUCUCAGCACACAUCUCAUAUCAUCAUUGGAUAACAAAAGCAAGCCGUUGUUGUUCAUUUCUCUAAAAAGCCAUUUUUUGUUCAUUAAGUUCAUAGAAAAUAUAUAUAUAUAUAUAGGGAAGGGAAUAUAUAUAUAUAUAUAUAUAUCACUAGUAAGGGUCCCAUGUUGUUUGCUAGAUGACAUUAAGGAUGGAGAAUGAGAGCAUGUGCAAAGGAUGCAAGUGGGUAACAUGGAGCAAUAUAUAUAUUUAUGCCCUCCUCAUACUUCUUAAAGUGCAUAGCUUUCAUUCUUGUUGGAUUUCUCUGGCAUGCAUGAACUAACUGAAAAACCUCCCAAUCCUUGACUUGUUUUUUUUUUAUACUUCUUUAUGCCUUCCCACUCUUGCAUUUGAAGAUGCUUGUGUGGUUGUCAUUAGUGGGAGAGUUCAUGGGACUUUGGCUAUUUGUGCCUAGCUUGGAUACAACCAUUAGAGAAUAAUAACCUUUAAUUUUCCUCUUGGAAACAUCUAUAUAUGAAGAGUUUAAUUUAUUAUAGUUCUUGGCUACUGAAUAUAUAUAGGAGAUCAUUUUUUUCAAUUUAAUUUUGGUGUUUAUAUAUAUUUUUCAUAUAACAUUUGUCUUCUUAUUAAUGUUGAUAAAAUAGAGACUUGUUAUGUUAUGCUAUUUUUAUAUUUUUUUUUCUUGAACAAUUAAGUAUUAUGUCUUGGAAAUGAGU